rnacentral:rRNA from 1 species
AGAGUUUGAUUCUGGCUCAGGACGAACGCUGGCGGCGUGCUUAACACAUGCAAGUCGAACGAAGCUUGAUUUAUGAUUUCUUCGGAAUGAAUAAUGAUAUGACUGAGUGGCGGACGGGUGAGUAACGCGUGAGCAACCUGCCCUUCGGAGGGGGAUAGCGUCUGGAAACGGACGGUAAUACCGCAUAAAGUGUCUUGACCGCAUGAUCGAGAUACCAAAACUGAGGUGCCGAAGGAUGGGCUCGCGUUGGAUUAGAUAGUUGGUGGGGUAACGGCCUACCAAGUCGACGAUCCAUAGCCGGACUGAGAGGUUGAACGGCCACAUUGGGACUGAGACACGGCCCAG